rnacentral:misc_RNA from 1 species
UUCCUGUUGAGAAAGUAUCAACUGAUGAAUCUGAUCGCCUCUUGAAGAUGGAAGAGACCUUGCACAAGAGAGUCAUCGGUCAGGAUGAAGCUGUCAAAGCCAUUAGCCGUGCUAUUCGCCGAGCCCGUGUUGGACUCAAGAACCCCAAUCGCCCAAUUGCUAGCUUCAUAUUUUCUGGUCCAACUGGUGUGGGGAAGUCAGAACUGGCAAAAGCACUAGCUGCUUACUACUUUGGCUCUGAAGAAGCUAUGAUCCGCCUUGAUAUGAGUGAGUUCAUGGAAAGGCACACCGUCUCCAAGCUCAUUGGUUCACCUCCUGGUUAUGUUGGUUACACUGAGGGUGGGCAGUUAACAGAGGCUGUUCGGCGUCGGCCUUACACUGUAGUACUCUUUGAUGAGAUUGAGAAGGCCCAUCCUGAUGUCUUCAACAUGAUGCUUCAGAUUCUUGAAGAUGGAAGGUUGAC